rnacentral:rRNA from 1 species
CAGAUUAGCUAGUUGGUGAGGUAAAGGCUCACCAAGGCGACGAUCUGUAGCGGGUCUGAGAGGAUGAUCCGCCACACUGGGACUGAGACACGGCCCAGACUCCUACGGGAGGCAGCAGUGGGGAAUUUUGGACAAUGGGGGCAACCCUGAUCCAGCCAUGCCGCGUGAGUGAAGAAGGCCUUCGGGUUGUAAAGCUCUUUCGGCCGGGAAGAAAUCGUGUGGGUUAAUACCCUGCSUGGAUGACGGUACCGGAAUAAGAAGCACCGGCUAACUAC